GAGAGAGAAGUCAGAGAGAGAGAUCACAGGGAGGGAACGAGAGGGGAGAGGGGGCUCGGGAGUCGAGCACUAUUUGAAGGGCAUCCCCAGAAGGAAAGAAUUGGCUAAAGCUUCGAUUAGCGGAAGAUGUUUGUCCUUUUAAGUCGGUAAUGGGAUGAUGAUGAUGUGGGUUCCAUCAACACACCUUUGAUUUCAACAUCAACUGCCCUUCUUUGCCGGUCCUCUGUCUCCUCCCACUCCCAUAGACUCCGGAAAGCAACUAUAUAUUUUUACAUCCAUCCAUUUCUCCCUCCAAUCCAAGGGGCUGGUCUCUCUGUAUUUUUUUUCGGAUGACUGUCUUUUCAUUUGAUAAGUUUUUGAGUACAUUAAGGUUAAGCAUUGAGAAAUUUUGUCUGUCUUGCAGAAAAGGUUUAUUUGUUCUUAGAAAAUUGUUGCUAGAUUAUAUUGGAAUGAAAUAAACGCGGAUUUAAUAGUUUAUGGUAGACUGAAUAGAGCAAUAGUAGAAUGUGGUGAAAUACAUUUAUAAA